AGGGUUCGAUUCUGGCUCAGGAUGAACGCUGGCGGCGUGCUUAACACAUGCAAGUCGAACGGAGUUUAGAUGAAAGCUUGCUUUGACUAAACUUAGUGGCGGACGGGUGAGUAACGCGUGGGCAACCUGCCUUAUACCGGGGGGACAACAGCUGGAAACGGCUGCUAAUACCGCAUAAGCGCACGGUCAGGCAUCUGACAGUGUAGAAAAACUCCGGUGGUAUAAGAUGGACCCGCGUCUGAUUAGCCAGUUGGCGGUGUAACGGACCACCAAAGCGACGAUCAGUAGCCGGCCUGAGGAGGGACAAACGGCCACAGUUGGGACUGAGACACGGCCCAAACUCCGUACGGGAGGCAGCAGGUGGGGAAUAUUGCACAAUGGGGGAAACCCUGAUGCCAGCGACGCCGCGUGAGUGAAGAAGUAUUUCGGUAUGUAAAGCUCUAUCAGCAGGAAAGAAAAUGACGGUACCUGACUAAGAAGCCCCGGCUAACUACGUGCCAGCCGCCGC
rnacentral:rRNA from 1 species